rnacentral:rRNA from 1 species
GACGAACGCUGGCGGCGUGCCUAAUACAUGCAAGUAGAACGCACAGUUUAUACCGUAGCUUGCUACACCAUAAACUGUGAGUUGCGAACGGGUGAGUAACGCGUAGGUAACUUGCCUGGUAGCGGGGGAUAACUAUUGGAAACGAUAGCUAAUACCGCAUAAUAUUGAUUAUUGCAUGAUAAUUGAUUGAAAGAUGCUAUUGCAUCACUACCAGAUGGACCUGCGUUGUAUUAGCUAGGAGGUGAGGUAACGGCUCACCUAGGCGACGAUACAUAGCCGACCUGAGAGGGUGAUCGGCCACACUGGGACUGAGACACGGCCCAGACUCCUACGGGAGGCAGCAGUAGGGAAUCUUCGGCAAUGGACGAAAGUCUGACCGAGCAACGCCGCGUGAGUGAAGAAGGUUUUCGGAUCGUAAAGCUCUGUUGUAAGAGAAGAACGGGUGUGAGAGUGGAAAGUUCACACUGUGACGGUAUCUUACCAGAAAGGGACGGCUAACUACGUG